GCACAGCUGGCUCAGUGGGUAGAGCAUGAGACUCUUGAUCUUGAGGUCAUGGGUUCAAGCCCCAUGCUGGGUA
rfam:Canis lupus familiaris chromosome 2, whole genome shotgun sequence.